UACAGAGGUCUCAAGCGUUGUUCGGAAUCACUGGGCGUAAAGGGUGCGUAGGCGGCGGAGUAAGUCGGGUGUGAAAUUUGAAGGCUCAACCUUCAACUAGCACCUGAUACUGCUUUGCUUGAGGUCUGAAGAGGAGCUUGGAAUUCUUGGUGUAGCAGUGAAAUGCGUAGAUUUCGAGAAGAACGCUCGCAGCGAAAGCGAAGCUCUGGUCAGAUUCUGACGCUGAGGCACGAAGGCUAGGGGAGCAAACGGG
rnacentral:rRNA from 1 species